UACGGAGGGGGCUAGCGUUGUUCGGAAUUACUGGGCGUAAAGCGCACGUAGGCGGCUUUGUAAGUCAGAGGUGAAAGCCCGGAGCUCAACUUCGGAAUUGCCUUUGAGACUGCAUCGCUUGAAUCCGGGAGAGGUGAGUGGAAUUCCGAGUGUAGAGGUGAAAUUCGUAGAUAUUCGGAAGAACACCAGUGGCGAAGGCGGCUCACUGGACCGGUAUUGACGCUGAGGUGCGAAAGCGUGGGGAGCAAAC
rnacentral:rRNA from 1 species